ensembl:lncRNA novel transcript
GGCAUAGAGGAUCAGGAGAGGGGACGCCACCUGCCACACGCUGGAUGCUGGGGUCCGCACGACUGCGGCUUGUGUCGCUGUGGUUGGUGGUGGUGAUGGAAACUGCAGCGUGGCUGGAGUGCACAUUCACACAGACUGGCUAAUGAGACCCCACACUGAAGAAGCCUAGAACUUCCACAGACUCCCUGAAAUCUAAGUCCUCAUUUUUAACAUACAGCUUUUAAUACUAGCUUCAGAAGUCCCGGAUCCCUGCAAAGCAACAAUGAACCAUUUCUUGAUUGGAUUGUGAUGUGACGAAAAGUGGAUUUUAUACGACAACCGGCAAUGACCAGCUCAGUGGUUGGACCAAGAAGACGCUCCAAGGCACUUCCCAAAGCCAAACUUGCACCAAAAAAGGUUAUGGUCACUAUUUGGUGGUCGUCGGCUCGUCUGAUCCACUGCAGCUUUCUGAAUGCCAGUGAAACCAUUGCCUCUGAGGAGUGUACUCAGCAAAUUGAUGACAUGCACUGAAAACUCCAGCGCCUGCAGGCAGCAUUGAUCAACAGAAAAGCCCAAUUCUUCUUCAUGACAGCACCUGACCACAUGUCACACAACUCACGCUUUAAAAGUUGAACAAAUUGGGCUACGAAGUUUCACCUCAUCUGCCGUAUUCACCUGAUCUCUCGCCAACUGACUACUACUUAUUCGAGCAUCUUGACAACUCUUUGCAGGGAAAAUGCUUUCAGGACCAGCAGGAUGCAGAAAAUGCUUUCAAGAGUUUAUUGAAUCCUGAAGAAUGGAUUUUUACACUAUAGAAAUAAACAGACUGGGCGCAGUGGCUCACGCCUGUAAUCUCAGCACUUUGGGAGGCCAAGGCAGCCAGAUCACCUGAGGUGAGGAGUGCGAGACCAGCAUGACCAACAUGGAGAAACCCCGUCUCUACUAAAAAUACAAAAUUAGCCAGGCGUGGUGGUGCAUGCCUGUAAUCCCAGCUACUUGGGAGGCUGAGGAAGGAGAAUCACUUGAACCCAGGAGGCGGAGGUUGUGAGCUGAGAUUGCACCACUGCAUUCCAGCCUGGGCAGCAAGAGUGAAAGUCCAUCUCAGAGAGGAAAAAAAAAAAAAAAGGAAAAAGAAAAGAAAAAAAAAAACUUAUUUCUCAUUGACAAAAAUGUGUUGGUUGUAAUGGUUCCUAUUUUGAUUAAUAAAGAUGUUUGAGCCUAGUUAUAAUGAUUUAAAAUUCACAGUCCAAACUGCUGUUACUUUUGCACCAACCUAAAAAUACUUGUAUACGUGUGAAACAUGCCAGACUUCCAAGACAGGAGAUGUGUGACAGAUGUGAAGGGAUUUCUUGGGAGGUGUUUAGGAAGCCUUUGGAAGCAGUUCUUAUCUCAGACAUGCAAGCACGAGCCUCCUCUUUUGUGCAUUCCCAGCCCUGUUUUGUCAGCGUCUGAAAAGAGUGAUUCCAUCCUGGUAUGUGCAAUUCUCACAGCUUGUAUAGAUAAAAUUUUGCAACUGUGCAAAUAUUUCCGCAGAGUAAAUAUCUAGGAAUAGAAGAAGUAGUUCAAAAAGUAAACACAUUUGAAAUUCUAAUAACUAUUGUCAACAGCCCUCCUCAGUGCUGGUACUAAUUACACUUCUAAGAGCUGUGUAUGAUGGGAGCUGUUUUCCCUCACCCUCACCAGAAGUACUUUUUUAUAUUUUUCAGUUUUCCUACUUGAUAAGUGAGCAGUGAUUUCUUAGUAUUGUUUUAAUUUGAAUUUUUUUUAUUAUGAGCAAAGUCGAGCAUCUUUUCUGAUGAUUAAAAUGCUGUUGUAUUUCCUUUUCUG